AUUGAACGCUGGCGGCAGGCUUAACACAUGCAAGUCGAGCGGGGUGAUGGUGCUUGCACUAUCACUUAGCGGCGGACGGGUGAGUAAUGCUUAGGAAUCUGCCUAUUAGUGGGGGACAACAUCUCGAAAGGGAUGCUAAUACCGCAUACGUCCUACGGGAGAAAGCAGGGGAUCACUUGUGACCUUGCGCUAAUAGAUGAGCCUAAGUCGGAUUAGCUAGUUGGUGGGGUAAAGGCCUACCAAGGCGACGAUCUGUAGCGGGUGUGAGAGGAUGAUCAGCCAGUCUGGGACGGGGCAACGGCCCAGAGUCCUACAGGAGGCAGCAGUGGAGAAGAUUGAACAAUGGGGGGAACCCUGAUCCAGCCAGGCCGCGUGUGCGAAUAAGGCCUUAUGGUUGUAAAGCACUUGAAGCGAGGAGGAGGCUCUUUUGGUUAAUACCCAAGAUGAGUGGACGUUACUCGCAGAAUAAGCACCGGCUAACUCUGUGCCAGCCGCCGCGGUAA
rnacentral:rRNA from 1 species